rnacentral:rRNA from 1 species
UACGGAGGGUGCAAGCGUUAUCCGGAUUUACUGGGUUUAAAGGGUGCGCAGGCGGAUAUGUAAGUCAGUGGUGAAAUCUCUGGGCUUAACCCGGAAAUUGCCAUUGAUACUAUAUAUCUUGAAUGCUGUGGAGAUAAGCGGAAUAUGUCAUGUAGCGGUGAAAUGCUUAGAUAUGACAUAGAACACCUAUUGCGAAGGCAGCUUACUACGCAGAGAUUGACGCUCAUGCACGAAAGCGUGGGGAUCAAACAGG